AUGGGACGGAUAAAGAGGGGGUUUCUUGUGGUGUGUGCUGAUGUUGACACCUCUGAUGUCUGCUGGUGUAAAGUUGCUGCUGAACAGCAGAUCUUCAUGCUCUUCUCCAGACCCGACCCUCCUCCUCCUCCUCCUGCUCUUCCUGUAGGCCUCGCAGGCCGUGUCCUGCUGUCCUGUAUCUGAUCGGCCUGUUUGGUCACGGAUGAGUGAGCUGCCCGCUCUUCUGCACUUUCUGGUUGCCGGUUGUUUUUGAUGCCCUCGGGGCGCCAUAGCAGUGAGACAAUAUAAACUAAGAGGACAGGAGAAAAUCAAGUCCUUUUGCAUGCUUUAGAAGUGUUUUUAUGCAUGAUGUGAGGCAGCAGCAGCAAAUACAGUACAUCAAUGUUAAAUUAAUAAGAAUCAGUAUUUUUCUAACAAGUAAUAUAGUUGACUAUUUCUCAUGAUCUGUCUGUGAGAUACAAUUGAUACAAUUGUAGCAGUUGUUCACUGCAUUUCACCGUUCUAUAUGAUUCUCUUUGCCCACAUACAGCAAUAUAUUUAAUAAUACAUGUAUUGGAAACUGUGCCAGAAAUUCUUGUUCACAAAUUCUGAUUCAUGUAUUUAUAAUAGUUCAUCUUGCACAUGACGUGAUGCAUUCCGCAAGACUUUCCCCGUUGGCAAUUUGAAUUUGGUCCAAAUAAAAGACGUCUUAUUUUCA
ensembl:lncRNA